AUGGCAACGGUCUAACCUAAACAAACAAUAUCGAAAUCCGUGAUGUUAAAAUUGGUUAAAAUGCUUAAGUAAUAAAGUUGAAACUUAAUUGAUUAAACUAUUGAGUAUUCAUCUCAGUUUCUUAAUAUCGAUGAAAUAAAGGUCGCCUGUAUGCAGUUCUGUUAAAGGUAAAUGAUGACUGACAAAGAUAAUUUAAAAGAGAUAUUGCCUUCUACAGGUUUGCUUUUCCAACAAGAGUUUCAUUCUUUUGUCCUAAGUAAACCUAAACUAAUACCAUUGAAAUCUGUUACUAUUCAACGAUUGGAAAGCAUGCAGCAAGAGGCAGAGCAAAAAGCCAAAGAACAAAUGGCUAAAACAGAAGAUACAGAAUUUAAAGGAUAGAGUAAAUACAAAUAAUUACCAUAGGUGUUGUUAAUUCAUACUGAUGUGAUUCUUUUGCAUUGUUUAUUAGAUAAUGUAUUAUUUAUUUGAUUAAAUUUUGCCAAAGAGGUUUUGAUUUAUACUUUUUAUAGAACAUUUGUGGCAACAUAUUAACCUGCAAUGUUUUUGUACCAUUAUGUUUUAUUUCAGUAAAAUUAAAUUUUGUUUGUCGAA